GACGAACGCUGGCGGCGCGCUUAACACAUGCAAGUCGAACGGUACCAACUGAGUAGUAAUACGAGGUUGGUAUAGUGGCGGACGGGUGAGUAACGCGUGAGCAAUCUGCCUUUAAGAGGGGGAUAACACCGGGAAACCGGUGCUAAUACCGCAUAAGNCCACGGUGCUGCAUGGCACAGGGGUAAAAGGAGCAAUCCGCUUAAAGAUGAGCUCGCGUCCCAUUAGCUAGUUGGUAAGGUAACGGCUUACCAAGGCUUUGAUGUUUAGGGGUCCUGAGAGGGUGGUCCCCCACACUGGUACUGAGACACGGACCNNACUCCUACGGGAGGCAGCAGUGAGGAAUAUUGGUCAAUGGGCGCAAGCCUGAACCAGCCAUCCCGCGUGCAGGAAGACGGCGCUAUGCGUUGUAAACUGCUUUUCCAGGGAGAGAAACUUGCGCACGUGUUGCGCAAUUGACGGUACCCUGGGAAUAAGCAUCGGCUAACUCCGUGCNNAGCAGCCGCGGUAAUACGGAGGAUGCGAGCGUUAUCCGGAUUCAUUGGGUUUAAAGGGUGCGUAGGCGGACUAUUAAGUCAGUGGUGAAAUCCUGCAGCUUAACUGCAGAACUGCCAUUGAUACUGAUAGCCUUGAGUUUGGUUAAGGUAGGCGGAAUGUGUAAUGUAGCGGUGAAAUGCUUAGAUAUUACACAGAACACCAAUUGCGUAGGCAGCUUACUGAGCCGACACUGACGCUGAGGCACGAAAGCGUGGGGAUCGAACAGGAUUAGAUACCCUGGUAGUCCACGCCGUAAACGAUGAUUACUCGCUGUUGGCGAUACACUGUCAGCGGCUAAGCAAAAGCAAUAAGUAAUCCACCUGGGGAGUACGGCCGCAAGGUUGAAACUCAAAGGAAUUGACGGGGGCCCGCACAAGCGGAGGAACAUGUGGUUUAAUUCGAUGAUACGCGAGGAACCUUACCUGGGCUUAAAUGUAGAGUGCAUUUUCUAGAGAUAGGAAUUCCCUUCGGGGCUUUCUGCAAGGUGCUGCAUGGUUGUCGUCAGCUCGUGCCGUGAGGUGUCGGGUUAAGUCCCAUAACGAGCGCAACCCUUAUCGUUAGUUGCCAUCUGGUAAAGCAGGGGACUCUAGCGAAACUGCCACCGUAAGGUGAGAGGAAGGUGGGGAUGACGUCAAAUCAGCACGGCCCUUAUGUCCAGGGCUACACACGUGUUACAAUGGUCGGUACAGAGGGCAGCUACCUGGUGACAGGAUGCUAAUCUCGAAAACCGGUCUCAGUUCGGAUCGAAGUCUGCAACUCGACUUCGUGAAGCUGGAUUCGCUAGUAAUCGCGCAUCAGCCAUGGCGCGGUGAAUACGUUCCCGGGCCU
rnacentral:rRNA from 1 species